UACGUAGGGUGCAAGCGUUGUCCGGAAUUAUUGGGCGUAAAGAGCUCGUAGGCGGCUUGUCGCGUCGAAUGUGAAAACUCGGGGCUCAACUCCGAGCUUGCAGUCGAUACGGGCAGGCUAGAGUUCGGCAGGGGAGACUGGAAUUCCUGGUGGUAGCGGUGAAAUGCGCAGAGUAUCAAGGAGGAACACCGGUGGCGAAGG
rnacentral:rRNA from 1 species